ensembl:misc_RNA Metazoa_SRP Metazoan signal recognition particle RNA
GCCGGGUGUGGUGGCACACACCUGUAGUCCCAGCUACUUGGGAGGCUGAGGCAGGAGAAUCACUCGAACCCAGGAAGCAGAGGUUGCAGUGAGCCAAGAUCGCACCACUGCACUCCAGCCUGGGUGACAGAGUGAGACUCCGUCUCAA